rnacentral:tRNA from 1 species
GCAUCGGUGGUUCAGUGGUAGAAUGCCCGCCCGGGUUCAAUUCCCGGCCGAUGCA